rnacentral:rRNA from 1 species
UACGGAGGGCGCGAGCGUUAAUCGGAAUUACUGGGCGUAAAGCGCGCGUAGGCUGUUGUGUAAGUUGGGGGUGAAAUCCCACGGCUCAACCGUGGAACAGCCCUUGAUACUGCGCGACUUGAAUCCGGGAGAGGGUGGCGGAAUUCCAGGUGUAGGAGUGAAAUCCGUAGAUAUCUGGAGGAACAUCAGUGGCGAAGGCGGCCACCUGGACCGGUAUUGACGCUGAGGCGCGAAAGUGUGGGGAGCAAACAGG